AGGAUCACUCUGUAUGACUACCAGGCUCUCUGUAGAGAGUAUGCUGGCAGCAGUGACAGCACACGCUCUUUAUCACAUCCCUUCUCCAUGGUGAAAUGGCUCCUGACCAAACUUGUCAUUUUCCUGCUGGAGUUCAACCUUUACAGCUGGUGGCAUGUUGAUCUCUCAAAGCCCAAAGGUCGAGGGGUAAGACCAUGAUGGUGCCAUGUGACACGGAGUACCCUGCCUUCGUCUCUGAGCGUACCAUCGAAGAGACCACGGGAAACAUUGAC